rnacentral:ncRNA from 2 species
AAUUAGAGCAGUGACUGGCGAAAAUGUGGAAUCAACCACAAGGGAGCUGCGAAUUUUACAAAACAUGAGCCAUUAGCCGUUCGCCUGGGCAGAAGGC